rnacentral:rRNA from 1 species
AGUCGCAACGGCAACACAGUAAGAGCUUGCUCUUAUGGGUGGCGAGUGGCGGGACGCCUUUUAAAUACAUCGGAAUCUACCUUUUCGUGGGGGAUAACGUAGGGAAACUUACGCUAAUACCGCAUACGACCUUCGGGUGAAAGCAGGGGACCUUCGGGCCUUGCGCGGAUAGAUGAGCCGAUGUCGGAUUAGCUAGUUGGCGGGGUAAAGGCCCACCAAGGCGACGAUCCGUAGCUGGUCUGAGAGGAUGAUCAGCCACACUGGAACUGAGACACGGUCCAGACUCCUACGGGAGGCAGCAGUGGGGAAUAUUGGACAAUGGGCGCAAGCCUGAUCCAGCCAUACCGCGUGGGUGAAGAAGGCCUUCGGGUUGUAAAGCCCUUUUGUUGGGAAAGAAAAGCUAUCUGCUAAUACCCGGUUGUUCUGACGGUACCCAAAGAAUAAGCACCGGCUAACUUCGUGCCAGCAGCCGCGGUAAUACGAAGGGUGCAAGCGUUACUCGGAAUUACUGGGCGUAAAGCGUGCGUAGGUGGUUGUUUAAGUCUGUUGUGAAAGCCCUGGGCUCAACCUGGGAAUUGCAGUGGAUACUGGGCGACUAGAGUGUGGUAGAGGGUAGUGGAAUUCCCGGUGUAGCAGUGAAAUGCGUAGAGAUCGGGAGGAACAUCCAUGGCGAAAGGCAGCUACCUGGACCAACACUGACACUGAGGCACGAAAGCGUGGGGAGCAAACAGGAUUAGAUACCCUGGUAGUCCACCGCCCCUAAACGAUGCGGAACUGGAUGUUGGGUGCAAUUUGGCCCGCAUUAUCGAAAACUAAAC